AACGAACGCUGGCGGCGUGCUUAACACAUGCAAGUCGAACGGAAACGUCCUGCUUUGUUGGGGUGCUCGAGUUGCGAACGGGUAAGUAACACGUGAGUAACCUGCCCUUGACUUUGGGAUAACUUCAUGAAACUGGGUCUAAUACCGCCUAGGAGCUCCUGCUGCAUGGUGGGGGUUGGAAAGUUUCGGCGGUUGGGGAUGGACUCGCCGCUCAUCAGAUUGUUCGUUUGGUAGUGGCUGACCAUGGCUUUGACGGGUAGCCGGGCUGCGCGGGGCACCGGACAAAUCGGGACUGGGAUACGGCACGGACCCCAACGGGAGGCAGCAGUGGGGAAUGUAGCACAAUGGGAUGAGGCCUGAUCUAGCAAAGCAAUGUGCGGGAUGACAGCAUGCCGGUAGUAUACCGCUUUCGUCUGUGACGGGACGUGAAUGACGGUACUGGGAAAAUAAGCACCGGCUAACUCCGUG
rnacentral:rRNA from 1 species